AUUGAACGCUGGCGGCAUGCCUUACACAUGCAAGUCGAACGGCAGCACGGGAGCAAUCCUGGUGGCGAGUGGCGAACGGGUGAGUAAUAUAUCGGAACGUGCCCAGUCGUGGGGGAUAACGCAGCGAAAGCUGUGCUAAUACCGCAUACGAUCUCUGGAUGAAAGCGGGGGACUCAGCAAUGGGCCUCGCGCGAUUGGAGCGGCCGAUAUCAGAUUAGCUAGUUGGUGGGGUAAAAGCCCACCAAGGCGACGAUCUGUAGCUGGUCUGAGAGGACGACCAGCCACACUGGAACUGAGACACGGUCCAGACUCCUACGGGAGGCAGCAGUGGGGAAUUUGGACAAUGGGCGAAAGCCUGAUCCAGCAAUGCCGCGUGCAGGAUGAAGGCC
rnacentral:rRNA from 1 species